CUACGGGCUGCACCAGUGAGGAAUAUUGCACAAUGGGGGGAACCCUGAUGCAGCAACGCCGCGUGGAGGAUGACGCAUUUCGGUGUGUAAACUCCUUUUAUAUGUCAAGAAAAUGACGGUAGCAUAUGAAUAAGCACCGGCUAACUCCGUGCCAGCAGCCGCGGUAAUACGGAGGGUGCAAGCGUUACUCGGAAUCACUGGGCGUAAAGGACGCGUAGGCGGGUUGGAAAGUCAGGUGUGAAAUCCUACAGCGUAACUGUAGAACUGCACUUGAAACUUCUAAUCUAGAGUAUGGGAGGGGGAGAUGGAAUUAGUGGUGUAGGGGUAAAAUCCGUAGAUAUCACUAGGAAUACCUAAGGCGAAGGCGAUCUCCUGGAACAUUACUGACGCUAAGGCGUGAAAGCGUGGGGAGCAAACAGGAUUAGAUACCCCAGUAGUC
rnacentral:rRNA from 1 species